rnacentral:rRNA from 1 species
UCGUAAGCACACCUCUAAAAGUAUAAGUAUGCAACUAUGACAAACUCAUAUACGUCAGGUCAAAGUGCAGCUUAUGAGAAGGUGACGAUGGGUUACACCCUUAAUAAAGACACGAAUUAUGACAUCAAAAGCCAUAUAAAGGUGGACUUGGACGUAACAAAGAUAUAAAAUCAAAAUGAAAACGAAUCUGAGACAUGCACACAUCGCCCGUCACUCUUGCCCAAAGGUGAGAUAAGUCGUAACAAAGUAGGUGUAACGGAAGUUGCACCUGU